rnacentral:lncRNA from 1 species
UGAUUGUGACACAGGAGACUUCAUCUGGCGAACGGGUGCAGGUUGGAGUUGGACUCUUGCCAAGCACAGCCACCAGAGGAGAACCCGGCCUUGGCCAGCAUCAGGCUCACAGCCUCGAAGAGGACCGGAGUCCUGGCUCCCGGGGCCCGUGAGAAAAUAAAAUUAUGUUGGUUGAAGCCACUGAGCAUGUGGUAAUCUGUUACGCAGCAAGAGAUGGCAUACAGGCUAGGAAGGAGGUAGCGUGUAGGACGACGAAGUCUAGCAGUACGACCAUCCUCUUACUAAAUGUCGAGAGAAUGAUUGGUUCCACUUCCCAGGACACAGGCUGAGGUUCCAGAGAGCUCUUUGUAUCGAGGUCUGGAGGGAGCAGAAUUGCACUCCGGAAGCUCAGGUGAACCGG